CAACAGUAUCCUCCUUGGACAAGUGUGUUAAUUGUGUGGGACCCGUAUCUUCCUUCAAGUGGCUUGGCUAUCGAUGCACAGUUUGUUCAGGGGUCUGGCAUAAAUCCUGCCUCAAGCAAAUUACAGGAGAUUACUUGCACAGCACAGCACAGGCACAGCAGUCUUCUGAGGCUUCUGAGG